GCUCCCAUGGCGUAGUGGUCACUGCACUCGCUUUGCACGCGGGAGACCCGGGUUCGAUUCCCGGCGGGGUCA
rfam:Asian citrus Psyllid, Diaphorina citri - Florida Strain, whole genome shotgun sequence.